rnacentral:rRNA from 1 species
UGAGCUUGAUCCCUGGCUCAGGAUGAACGCUGGCGGCGUGCUUAACACAUGCAAGUCGAACGAUGACCCGGUGCUUGCACCGGUGAUUAGUGGCGAACGGGUGAGUAACACGUGAGUAACCUGCCCUUAACUCUGGGAUAAGCCUGGGAAACUGGGUCUAAUACCGGAUAUGACUCCUCAUCGCAUGGUGGGGGGUGGAAAGCUUUAUUGUGGUUUUGGAUGGACUCGCGGCCUAUCAGCUUGUUGGUGAGGUAAUGGCUCACCAAGGCGACGACGGGUAGCCGGCCUGAGAGGGUGACCGGCCACACUGGGACUGAGACACGGCCCAGACUCCUACGGGAGGCAGCAGUGGGGAAUAUUGCACAAUGGGCGCAAGCCUGAUGCAGCGACGCCGCGUGAGGGAUGACGGCCUUCGGGUUGUAAACCUCUUUCAGUAGGGAAGAAGCGAAAGUGACGGUACCUGCAGAAGAAGCGCCGGC